AACGCUAGCUACAGGCUUAACACAUGCAAGUCGAGGGGCAGCAUUUUAGUUUGCUUGCAAACUGAAGAUGGCGACCGGCGCACGGGUGAGUAACACGUAUCCAACCUGCCGAUAACUCCGGAAUAGCCUUUCGAAAGAAAGAUUAAUACCGGAUAGCAUACGAAUAUCGCAUGAUAUUUUUAUUAAAGAAUUUCGGUUAUCGAUGGGGAUGCGUUCCAUUAGUUUGUUGGCGGGGUAACGGCCCACCAAGACAACGAUGGAUAGGGGUUCUGAGAGGAAGGUCCCCCACAUUGGAACUGAGACACGGUCCAAACUCCUACGGGAGGCAGCAGUGAGGAAUAUUGGUCAAUGGGCGAGAGCCUGAACCAGCCAAGUAGCGUGAAGGAUGAAGGCUCUAUGGGUCGUAAACUUCUUUUAUAUGGGAAUAAAGUUUUCCACGUGUGGAAUUUUGUAUGUACCAUAUGAAUAAGGAUCGGCUAACUCCGUGCCAGCAGCCGCGGUAAUACGGAGGAUCCGAGCGUUAUCCGGAUUUAUUGGGUUUAAAGGGAGCGUAGGUGGAUUGUUAAGUCAGUUGUGAAAGUUUGCGGCUCAACCGUAAAAUUGCAGUUGAAACUGGCAGUCUUGAGUACAGUAGAGGUGGGCGGAAUUCGUGGUGUAGCGGUGAAAUGCUUAGAUAUCACGAAGAACUCCGAUUGCGAAGGCAGCUCACUAGACUGUCACUGACACUGAUGCUCGAAAGUGUGGGUAUCAAACAGGAUUAGAUACCCUGGUAGUCCACACAGUAAACGAUGAAUACUCGCUGUUUGCGAUAUACAGUAAGCGGCCAAGCGAAAGCAUUAAGUAUUCCACCUGGGGAGUACGCCGGCAACGGUGAAACUCAAAGGAAUUGACGGGGGCCCGCACAAGCGGAGGAACAUGUGGUUUAAUUCGAUGAUACGCGAGGAACCCUACCCGGGCUUAAAUUGCAACAGAAUAUAUUGGAAACAGUAUAGCCGUAAGGCUGUUGUGAAGGUGCUGCAUGGUUGUCGUCAGCUCGUGCCGUGAGGUGUCGGCUUAAGUGCCAUAACGAGCGCAACCCUUAUCUUUAGUUACUAACAGGUGAUGCUGAGGACUCUAGAGAGACUGCCGUCGUAAGAUGUGAGGAAGGUGGGGAUGACGUCAAAUCAGCACGGCCCUUACGUCCGGGGCUACACACGUGUUACAAUGGGGGGUACAGAAGGCGGCUACCUGGUGACAGGAUGCUAAUCCCAAAAACCUCUCUCAGUUCGGAUCGAAGUCUGCAACCCGACUUCGUGAAGCUGGAUUCGCUAGUAAUCGCGCAUCAGCCAUGGCGCGGUGAAUACGUUCCCGGGCCUUGUACACACCGCCCGUCAAGCCAUGAAAGCCGGGGGUACCUGAAGUACGUAACCGCAAGGAGCGUCCUAGGGUAAAACUGGUAAUUGGGGCU
rnacentral:rRNA from 1 species